CUAUGGUUUAUUGGAUCGUACCCGUUAAAUGGAUAACUGUAAUAACUCUAGAGCUAAUACAUGCCUCGAUGCUCUGAGCCUGGUUGUUGCCUUGCGGCAGCGAGUGGGCGAUGGGUGCACUUAUUAGAUCAGAAGCCAACCAGUCCGCCGGCUGCACACGUGUGUGUGUGUGUGUGUGUGUGUGGGCUGUGAGAGGAGACUUCUGGUGACUCUGGAUAAUUGUUACAGAUCGCAGUCGGCCUUGAGUCGGCGACGGGUCCUUCAAAUGUCUGCCCUAUCAACUGUCGAUGGUAGGUGACCUGCCUACCAUGGUGAUAACGGGUAACGGGGAAUCAGGGUUCGAUUCCGGAGAGGGAGCCUGAGAAACGGCUACCACUUCCAAGGGAGGCAGCAGGCGCGCAAAUUACCCACUCCCAGCACGGGGAGGUGGUGACGAAAAAUACCGAUGCGGGACUCCUUCAAGAGGCUCCGUAAUCGGAAUGAGUGGACUCUAAAUCCUUUCACGAGGAUCAAUUGGAGGGCAAGUCUGGUGCCAGCAGCCGCGGUAACUCCAGCUCCAAUAGCGUAUAUUAAAGUUGCUGCAGUUAAAAAGCUCGUAGCUGGAUCUCGGUGGCAUUGUUGCCUGUCGGUGGUUGAGCGGCUGGUGUGUGGCUAUUGACGCGUUGCUCUGACCGCGGCGGCGGCGGCGGCGGCUGUCGUCGCCGCUGCAGCCGCUGCCUCGGUGUGUGUGUGUGCGUGUGUGUGGAGCGUCAGUCAACUGUCGGUUGGUGGUGCGGGCCUGGUGUGUGGGCGAGUGUGUGAGUGGGUAGGUGGAGGAGGGAUGGGUGGGUGAAUGAGUGAAUGGGCACAUGUGUGUGAGUGAGUGAGUGAGUGAGUGAGUGUGAGCGUGGGGCUGUUGCCUGUGCGCUCACUGAGCUGCUUGGUGGCUAGCUUGCUCGCUCGCUCGCUCGCUCGCUCGCUCGCUUGGUGGCGCGUUCGCUUGUUGGCUGACUCGUUCGCUGGUCUGCCUGCCUGCCUGUAUGCUCGUCUGCUUACUUGCGUGCACUGUUGGCCGGUUGGGGGGCUGGUGCGCUCGCUCGCUCGCUAGCUCGUUGGCUCACUCACACGCCGUGGUUUGGUUGUUGCUGCUGCUGCUGCUGCUGCUGUUGUUGUGGUUGGAGUGGCGUUGACGUGGUCAUGAUGAGACGCUGCCGUAUCAAGCCGACAAGGCGAUGGUGUCGCCUGUAAGCCAUGUCUGUGGUGUAGUAGCCGCAGGUGUGGGCGAGUGGUGGAUGGUGCUGUGCGCACACAUGUUGUGCAGCCUGUCAGCUCGUCUGCAUGCCUUUGGAUGCCCUUGAAAAGGUGUCUGCGGGCGGAUGGCACGUUUACUUUGAACAAAUUUGAGUGCUCAAGGCAGGCCGAUGUUGCCUGUAAAGUUUUGCAUGGAAUAAUGGAAUAGGACUUCGGUUCUAUUUCGUUGGUUUUCGGAUCCGAAGUAAUGAUCAAAAGAGACAGGCGGGGACGUUUGUAUGGCUGCGCUAGAGGUGAAAUUCAUGGACCGUAGCCAGACAAACUAAAGCGAAAGCAUUCGUCAAGCAUGUUUUCAUUGGCCAUGAGCGAAAGUCAGAGGCUCGAAGACGAUCAGAUACCGUCCUAGUUCUGACCAUAAACGAUGCCAACUGACGAUCCGUGGUGGUAGUCGUGUUACCUUCCCCACGGGCAGUCCCCGGGAAACCUUUAAGUGUUUGGGUUCCGGGGGAAGUAUGGUUGCAAAGCUGAAACUUAAAGGAAUUGACGGAAGGGCACCACCAGGAGUGGAGCCUGCGGCUUAAUUUGACUCAACACGGGAAAACUCACCCGGGCCGGACACUAUGAGGAUUGACAGAUUGAGAGCUCUUUCUUGAUUUGGUGGUUGGUGGUGCAUGGCCGUUCUUAGUUGGUGGAGCGAUUUGUCUGGUUAAUUCCGAUAACGAACGAGACUCCAGCCUGCUAAUUAGUGCAUUUGUCCACUGCACCUGUGAUGGUGGCGUUGGACGAUACUGGGUGCCGCGAGGCAUGCGCUUUGGCGUUGUCACUGCUGGUGUCGUGUGCUGUGUGCAUGCGGCGCACGUCAUGCUAGUCCGCGUCGGCGUUCUGCUCCUUCUCCACCUCGUCGUCGUGGCCGUAGUUGCUGCUGCUGCUGCUGCUAUUGUUGCUGUCGGCAGUGAUGGUGGUGGCGGCGGCGGCGGCGGCGGCGGGUACGUUUGCGCGAGGGUGGUGCAAGGGCGGUUGAGUGUGACGAUGGCGGUGGGAGCGUGUGAAGCGCGGACUUUGUGGUUGGUUAGGCUGGCGCUGGCGUCCGGGUGUGGCGCGAAUGCUUACUACUUCUUAGAGGGACAAGCGGGAGAAGCCGCACGAAAUAGAGCAAUAACAGGUCUGUGAUGCCCUUAGAUGUCCGGGGCCGCACGCGCGCUACAAUGACGGUGUCAGCGAGUCAGACCUUCUGGCCCGAGAGGGUUGGGCAAACUGGUCAAUCGCCGUCGUGACAGGGAUCGGGGCUUGGAAUUGUUCCCCGUGAACGAGGAAUUCCUAGUAAGUGCAAGUCAUAAGCUUGCGCUGAUUACGUCCCUGCCCUUUGUACACACCGCCCGUCGCUACUACCGAUUGAAUGGUUUAGUAAGGUCCUUGGAUUGGCGUCAUUGCGGUGGCUGCCGCCAUCGCCGGCAUUGGGCCGCGGAGGAGGAGGCGGCUGCCCGAGAGGCGCCGAGAAGACGACCAAACUUGAUCAUUUAGA
rnacentral:rRNA from 1 species